rnacentral:rRNA from 1 species
GACGAACGCUGGCGGCGUGCUUAACACAUGCAAGUCGAGCGACACUCUUCCUUCUGGGGGCUGACGGAGCGGCGAACGGUUGAGUACCACGUUUGCAACCUGCCCCUCUCUCUGGGACACCACCUGGUAACCGGUGCUAUUACCGGAUACGACAUCUAUCGCCAUCUCUCGAUGUGGAAAGUUUUUUCGGCUUUGGAUGGGCCCGCGGCCUCUCAGCUUGUUGGUGGGGUCAGGUCCCACCAAGGCGUCGACGAGUCUCCGGCCGGGGAGGGCGACUGGCCACAACGGGAAGGAGGAACGGGCCAGAAUCCUAAGGGAGGGAGGAGUGGGGAAAAAUGGGAAAGGGGGGAAAGGCUGAAGCAGGGAAGGCGGGGGAGGGAAGAAGGGCUUUGGGGUGUAAAAGUCUUUUAGCAGGGAAGAAUAAAGACGGUACCGGGAGAAGAAGCACCGGCUAACUACGUG